rnacentral:sRNA from 1 species
UCAGCAGCCGCGGUAAUACGUUCCCGGGCCUUGUACACACCGCCCGUCACACCACGGAAGCAAGCAACACCCGAAGCCGGUGGCCUAACCCUCUGGGAGGGAGCCGUCGAAGGUGGGGCUCGUGACUGGGGUGAAGUCGUAACAAGGUAGCCGUACCGGAAGGUGCGGCUGGAUCACCUCCUUUCUAGGGAAGCUCCAGGAUUGGAGCGGUCGCUCAGGCGGCCGGCGCACACCGCGCCGGCGCAGCUCGAGCGGCUACCGAAAUGUCGACCGGACCUGGCGCCCGGAGUCCUCGUGGCUCGCGGGCGCAUGCUGUUGAGUUUUGAGAGACCGAGCGCCCAGUCCGGGCGUGCGCCUCUUCGCGGACCUUGAAAACUGCACAGCCAUGCCAACAAACGGGUAUCACCGCGUGCUCGCGUGAGCUCCUUUCCGGGCUCGUGCGUAGCGCGUGAUCACCGUCAAGAUAGGAAGGGCACAUGGUGGAUACCUAGGCACACAGAGA